CAUUAUAUUUUUUUUCAAAAACAGGGGGAGAUUUCCCACACAAAACAAAGAAUCCCUAUUGGACACAGAAUUUUUAAAACCCUUAAUAGAAAACACUAUUUCCCUAUUUUACAGAGAAUUUUUAAAACACUAAUUUUCUCGAUCUCAUAAAACAGCCUUCAUUAUGCUUUCUUGAGACUUUACUUACCCUCCAAAAAUUCUGCAGUUCCUUUACAACCAAAUAUGAAAUAUCCCUGUUGAGCUGGGCUCUUUUGCAGAGAAUAGUCUGACUGGAGUUAGCUUUGAGAGUCUAUGUAUACGAGGAGGCAUAAGUUACUUUCGGCUCAAAAGAAAAAAAUUAAUGUUACUAUUUGCAACGGUAAAGCACUGUCUAACAGUGUGACCUUGAUCGAAAAUCCAUCCUUUCUGUACCAAGGAAAAUGCAUGGCAUGCAUUUUUUUUUCCUAUGAUAGUGAUAAAAUGAGACUUUCGAAGGGAAGGGUCUAGCUUGGACUGGCAGCUUUAGGAAGAGUAGGUGAAAAGUGUUAGAUUUGAUUGGAGGACAGCUACUUAAUUGAUUUGGUAGAAAUGUGAAUAGGUAGAUGCAUGCUUCUAGCUUAAGCAAUUCUCUUUAUAAACCCCCAUAAACCCUCGCCUUAUAUAAGUCCCCAAAGAGCCAGUAGAAACUUUUGUUAUUGCAUGUUGUGUAUAUUGUGCAAGACAAAAACUCUAAAGUGGAGAGAGAGAGAGAGAGAGAGAGAGAGAGAGAGAAGCUUGUUUUAGUGGGCGGAGACGGUGGUGGCCGGUGAUCGGAGAGAGCUAGCUAGUGAUCGAUGGGCCCGGGAGGACCAGGAGGAGGGCCGGGAGGACCAGGACCUGGUGCACCAGGACCUUUCUUCUGUGGCUUUUUUGACAUGAUUGGUUCUUGUCUGAACUUCGUAUGCUGUUGCUGGUUGCUACAAGAUUGCUUUGGAGGUGGGCCUCCCGGACCCCCCGGCCCACCCGGACCACCUCCUCCAUGAAUCAUCUGCCUGCUUCCCGGCCAUGCAGUUCCUACCAUACAGACAGUACUACUGCAUGCUACUGCUAUUUUAAUUUACAUCUAUGAUCUAUGUAUUAUGCAAAAAUUAAUUUGGAACAAAAGGACUCGUAUUCUUGAGACUUGAGAGACAUUAAUUUAUCCCUGGUUUUUUGUCUGCCAGUCAGUUAAAUGUCCCUUUAUCGAUGGAUGUUUGACAUCUGUAUGAAUUGAAUAAAUCAAAACCGUCGGACCCAUCACCCAUGGCCCAUGGCCCAUGGCCCAUGGGCGUGGUGUACGUUCUUAUCCUCUA